rnacentral:rRNA from 1 species
UACAGAGGGUGCAAGCGUUGUUCGGAAUUAUUGGGCGUAAAGAGCUCGUAGGCGGUUCGUCGCGUCGGCUGUGAAAUCCCGAGGCUCAACCUCGGGUCUGCAGUCGAUACGGGCGGACUGGAGCUCGGCAGGGGAGACUGGAAUUCCUGGUGGUAGCGGUGAAAUGCGCAGAUAUCAGGAGGAACACCGGUGGCGAAGGCGGGUCUCUGGGCCGAUACUGACGCUGAGGAGCGAAAGCGUGGGGAGCGAACAGG